rnacentral:rRNA from 1 species
GACGAACGCUGGCGGCGUGCUUAACACAUGCAAGUCGAGCGAUGAAAGCCUUAUGAACUAUUCGUAGUGAUUGAGGCCGGAUUAGCGGCGGACGGGUGAGUAACGCGUGAGCAACCUGCCUUAAACAACGGGAUAGCCUCGGGAAACCGGGAUUAAUACCGUAUGAGACCCCGCCUUCACAUGAAGAAGAGGUUAAAGAUUUAUCGGUUUAAGAUGGGCUCGCGUCUGAUUAGCUAGUUGGUGAGAUAAAAGCCCACCAAGGCAACGAUCAGUAACCGGCUUGAGAGAGUGAACGGUCACAUUGGAACUGAGACACGGUCCAAACCCCUACGGGAGGCAGCAGUGGGGAAUAUUGCACAAUGGGGGAAACCCUGAUGCAGCGACGCCGCGUGAGCGAUGAAGGAAUUCGUUUCGUAAAGCUCUGUCUAAGGGGAAGAUAAUGACAGUACCCUUGGAGGAAGCCCCGGCUAAAUACGUGCCAGCCGCCGCGGUAA